AGAGAAUAGAUACCCGGUAGUCCACGCCCUAAACGAUGUCAACUAGGUGUUGGGGGAGCAAUCCCUUGGUACCGCGGCUAAACGCGUGAAAGUUGACCGCCUGGGGAGUACGGUCGCAAGAUUAAAACUCAAAGGAAUUGACGGGGACCCGCACAAGCGGUGGAUGAUGUGGAUUAAUUCGAUGCAACGCGAACAACCUUACCUACCCUUGACAUGUCUGGAAGCCUGCUGAAAGGCGGGUGUGCCCGAAAGGGAACCGGAACACAGGUGCUGCAUGGCUGUCGUCAGCUCGUGUCGUGAGAUGUUGGGUUAAGUCCCGCAACGAGCGCAACCCUUGUCCUUAGUUGCUACGCAAGGGCACUCUAAGGAGACUGCCGGUGACAAACCGGAGGAAGGUGGGGAUGACGUCAAGUCCUCAUGGCCCUUAUGGGUAGGGCUUCACACGUCAUACAAUGGUCGGUACAGAGGGUAGCCAACCCGCGAGGGGGAGCCAAUCCCAGAAAGCCGAUCGUAGUCCGGAUUGCAGUCUGCAACUCGACUGCAUGAA
rnacentral:rRNA from 1 species